rnacentral:lncRNA from 1 species
ACCUCCUGGGAUGAUACACGCCCCAAUGUAACACCCCUCAUCUCUGCGCUGGGGGCAUCACCUGUUAUCUUCCUUUUCCUCUCUAGACUACACGUGUCUCCAUUAGCAGAGCAUUAUUUUGCAAGAGAAGCGUGUUCCUUUUCUCAAUAGGAAGGAAGAAAUAAAUGAAGGCACCAGCCAGGCCGGAGAAACUUGCAAGUCGCUGUGACUGCUUCGGAUCCAGCACACCCCACCCACCUCGGGCUGUGGACGCCACCUGCAGCAGCCCGGGGAAGACGGAGGAAGAGGCGCUGGCUGCGGAGCAGGUCCUUGGCAAAGAGCGGAAGGUGACGGGGCGCAGGGAGCGCCUGCUCUUAGGAUCCUGCCUCUCAGCUGAGGAGGGAGCAAUUCAAGUUUUAAUAAUCUCAGGCAUAUGAAUGAUGCAAACUUGCAACAGCGUUUGAAAGUGCACUUAUUUAAACUUCUUUUUCCUCUAAAUAGCUUUGCGACUGUCGACCGGUAAAUUUUCCUUUUUAUUUCAUCACAUUCAUCGUUUGCCCUCUUGCCAGCAGGGACCCCACAAUGGCGACAAAUGGGUUCUCCGGGGCAAAUGGCAAAAGAGAGGAAGUUUCCCGUCGGACUUUCCCAAGCCCCCCUCUCCCCGCCCCUUCUUGCACCUGGACCUUCUGAGGCUGUCGCACCCCUCCCCUGGGCGGGGCCGGCACUAGGGAUACUGGAUUUCUCCUACUCUUCCCGCCCCUGGAUUCUUUCAGCCCUCACCCCCUCCCAGGAAAGAGGAAGAGAAGCAGCGGUGACGAGGACAGGCGGUGGUUGCCUACCCAGGAAUCCGAGGUCACACUUUUGUAAGAGACUUGAAGAGCGUGGUCUACGGCUUGUGCUGCGCCGCAGGGGUGUAGACCCAGAGUGCAAGCACAGGCAAGGAUCAGACACUCAUUUCACACUUCUGAUAGGUAGGUAAUACAACUCUCAGUUGCAGCGUGAUGAUGUGUUACCCCCUGUUCUGUACAAGAGGCUUGCCUCUCAAGGUGGGUCUCUCACUGAACUCCCUCUGUUAGCAUCUGGUUAGCACUGUGUCCAUGCACCCAGUCGCCAUAAUUGUUCAUUAUGAGGAUCAUGAGAGGUCUGCCUGUGCGAGUGGAAAUAUUAACCUAUUUGGUAAGUCCCAACACCCCUGAACUCAGUUUGAACUCAAAGCCUCCAAAAGGCCAUUAUAUGACUGGAACUGAUUUCACGUCCCUGGGAGGAAUGGACUACAACUCUCAGUGUACUUUGUGUCUUACCCCUUGAGUUUUACCAGCAUGACUUUCUGAAGUGUUUUAAUCCAGUUUAUCCUGGUGCCAUGGAGGUUUCGUAGAAGUCGUGAGUAUAUCAGGCUCCAUUUAGUGUUAUAGCUAUGUUCUUGUGCUCAAGAUGGAGGAAAGAUAGCAGGACUAUUUCGGCAACCUGGGACCUUUUAUAGCUGUCAGAGUAGCCUGAUAUUGUCAUAAACCCUAGAGCGAGGAAAGAAUUUGAGGUGAUCCUGUGUGUCCGCCUGGAGUGCUGAGGAAAGGUCCUUCUGUCAUCCUACAUUGGAAUCUCUGAAGGAUGAUGUGAAACUUCUCUUGGGAAGUGUACUUUGCUACAGGGCCUUCUAGAUAAGCAGUGGGGUUUUUUUUGUGUGUGUGCGUGUGAGGAAGACUGUCCCUGAGCUAACAUGUAUUGCCAAUCUUCCUUUUUUUGCUUGAGGAAGAUUGUCCCUGAGCUAACAUGUGUGCCAGUCUUCCUCUAUUUUGUAUGUGGGACGCCACCACAGCAUGGCUUGAUGAGUGGUGUGUAGGUCCAUGCUGGAGAUCCGAACCUGCCAACCCUGGGCCGCUGAAGUGGAAUGGGCAAACUUAACCACUUAAGCCACCAGGCCAGCCCUCAAACAGUUUUAUUUAUACCUAAUUGAAAUAGCUAUUGGGAAGGAUCAAGCAUGAACCCAUUUGUUGUUCUUUACAGGAAGAAAAAUAUAGCCAUUGAAAACCAAUUCUAUAUUAUUCUUCUGGUAUAUAGCACAGGGCAGCCUCAGAGUAAUACUGAAAGAUCAAUAGGUUAUUAUUACUUAUGAUGUAUUUUUUUGUGAUUUUAAUACAAAUACAUAUGUGUUAUAAGUGAAGUUUGAUGAGGGCGUCAUAAGGGACAAUUUUGUAGCAGUUGUACUGGCUCAUCACCUCUUGUGGACCACAUCGUUGGCACACUCUCCUGCUGACGUGGGUGAGCAGGUCAGGGUUCAGCAGACAUCGGCUUCGCGCGCUGUGUGCCGGCCCCUUGUCACUGUGUUCUGUGCAUCAGCACCUGGGGCAGGGAGAAAUGAGGGGACCAGGGGAGAGAGGGUAGUCAGCAGCAUAAACCCUUAUGACCUCAUCAACCUGCCACCUCUGAUUUUGAACAAACCAUUUUACUUCUCCAGGUUUCGCUCUUCAACUAAUAUGUGAGUCAAAUAAAUAAGAGGCUCUUAAAAAUUUAUGGUCA